rnacentral:rRNA from 1 species
GGGUUGUGAGGUUAAGCGACUAAGCGUACACGGUGGAUGCCCUGGCAGUCAGAGGCGAUGAAGGGCGUGCUAAUCUGCGAUAAGCGCCGGUAAGGUGAUAUGAACCGUUAUAACCGGCGAUACCCGAAUGGGGAAACCCAGUGUGACUCGUCACACUAUCAUUAACUGAAUCCAUAGGUUAAUGAGGCGAACCGGGGGAACUGAAACAUCUAAGUACCCCGAGGAAAAGAAAUCAACCGAGAUUCCCCCAGUAGCGGCGAGCGAACGGGGAGGAGCCCAGAGCCUGAAUCAGCAUGUGUGUUAGUGGAAGCGUCUGGAAAGGCGCGCGAUACAGGGUGACAGCCCCGUACACAAAAGCGCAUGUGCUGUGAGCUCGAUGAGUAGGGCGGGACACGUGGUAUCCUGUCUGAAUAUGGGGGGACCAUCCUCCAAGGCUAAAUACUCCUGACUGACCGAUAGUGAACCAGUACCGUGAGGGAAAGGCGAAAAGAACCCCGGCGAGGGGAGUGAAAAAGAACCUGAAACCGUGUACGUACAAGCAGUGGGAGCACCCUUCGGGGUGUGACUGCGUACCUUUUGUAUAAUGGGUCAGCGACUUAUAUUCUGUAGCAAGGUUAACCG